GGCAAAAUGGUACCGUAACUUCGGGAGAAGGUACGCCCUGGACUGUGAUGAGACUUGCUCUCUAAGCGGUCCGGGGUCGAAGAUACUAGGUGGCUGCGACUGUUUAUUAAAAACACAGCACUCUGCAAACACGAAAGUGGACGUAUAGGGUGUGACGCCUGCCCGGUGCCGGAAGGUUAAUUGAUGGGGUUAGCGCUUGCGCGAAGCUCUUGAUCGAAGCCCCGGUAAACGGCGGCCGUAACAAUAACGGUCCUAAGGUA
rnacentral:rRNA from 12 species